GCUACUGCUUUUGCUGUCUCCCAGGAGAGGUCACCCACCCAGCCUGGGGUUUCUGUUAGUCUUUCAGGGCUGGGUGUUUACUCAAGUCCUUAAGCCAUCUGGACCUGUGGGCUGGACUUGGACACCCUCUUCCUUGGAGCUCUUCCCCCUUUCCCUUUCAAGCUGGAAAGUGGUGACCCCUUUAAGGAGGAAGGAGGAAGCAGAUGCCUGGAAGGAAAGCAAGAGAGCAGUGGCUGCUGCCAUGUUUUACUUCUUGACCUGAUCUAUGCCUCGCCCAGCCACCAUCAGAGAAGCUUCCUCCUGUAGCAGAUGGAAAGAAAUACAGAGACCCACAACCAGAUCAUAUGCAGAGAGUGAGAGACCUUGGAACACUCAGCUCUAAAAGGGAUGUCUCCAUCAAAUCCCUCCCCUCAGAGCUCAAGGAAAUCUGCUGGAAAAGGAGGCAGAUGGAGUGUAAGAUCCAGCGGGAACAGAGGACAAAAAGAAAUCAAUCAACAAAGCCUUCUACACACAAGACUGAUGCACAUAUGAACUUCCAGAGACUGGCAACACCCACAGGGUCUACAGAGAUCUGCACUAAACAGGAUUGUAGAGUUGACAGGAAAAGCGGACACACAAACACUCCACCCCUAACUGAGAAGCCAUCUCUAGUUAAUGAUCACUUACAAAUGAAAAUUAGUUUUCUUCAAGGAAGUCUCACUGGGGAAAACAAACCACUGUUAAGGGUAGGCCCCAUUCUCAGCACUAGAUGGCCAGCCUAAAACGAGUUCAGUGGUGUCUUUGGAGGUUCUUUGUCUCAUUGUGUUUUGUUUUGUUUUCCAUCAUAUGGUUCCUUUGAGUAUAUAGUAUGGCUUCUGCUUUGGGUUUUUUAUGGGAUUUCUGAGUGUGUAAAUGUGUAUGACUCUGCAUCUAUAUUCUAUAUGCAUUUCUUGUGCUUUUUCUUUGGCUCUUUUUUCUUGUUUGGUUGUUUUAUCAUAUUCUGAGUUGAUUUGUUUGUUUUUUAUUUAUGUUCUUAUUUUAUUUUAUUAAUAUUCCUUAGAUCUCUGUUUGUUUUCUAAGUAGAGACAGAAAGGGUGUGGAUGCUGAUAGAAGGGGAGAUUGGGAAGAGUAGGGGAAGGAAAAAUUGUAAUCAGAAUAUAUUACAUGAAAAAUAACUAUUUUCACUAAAAAACUAAAAACACAAA